GAAGAGAACCCUCCUUUUUACCUGC
rnacentral:piRNA from 1 species